rnacentral:rRNA from 1 species
CCCUUAGACGUUCUGGGCCGCACGCGCGCUACACUGAUGCAUUCAACGAGUCUAAAACCUGCUCUGAUAGGGGUGGGUAAUCUUUUGAAUGUGCAUCGUGAUUGGGAUAGAUGAUUGCAAUUUUUCAUCUUCAACGAGGAAUGCCUAGUAAACGCAAGUCAUCAGCUUGCAUUGAUUACGUCCCUGCCCUUUGUACACACCGCCCGUCGCUCCUACCGAUUGAAUGAUCCGAUGAAUAUCAUGGAUUGAGGAUGUAAGCAGGUUCGCCUGUCUUCAUCUUCGAGAAGUGAAGUAAAUCUUAUCAUUUAGAGGAAGGAGAAGUCGUAACA